UACGAACGCUGGCGGCGUGCUUAACACAUGCAAGUCGAACGGAAAGGCCCUGCUUUUGUGGGGUGCUCGAGUGGCGAACGGGUGAGUAACACGUGAGUAACCUGCCCUUGACUUUGGGAUAACUUCAGGAAACUGGGGCUAAUACCGGAUAGGAGCUCCUGCUGCAUGGUGGGGGUUGGAAAGUUUCGGCGGUUGGGGAUGGACUCGCGGCUUAUCAGCUUGUUGGUGGGGUAGUGGCUUACCAAGGCUUUGACGGGUAGCCGGCCUGAGAGGGUGACCGGCCACAUUGGGACUGAGAUACGGCCCAGACUCCUACGGGAGGCAGCAGUGGGGAAUAUUGCACAAUGGGCGGAAGCCUGAUGCAGCAACGCCGCGUGCGGGAUGACGGCCUUCGGGUUGUAAACCGCUUUCGCCUGUGACGAAGCGUGAGUGACGGUAAUGGGUAAAGAAGCACCGGCUAACUACGUGCCAGCAGCCGCGGUGAUACGUAGGGUGCGAGCGUUGUCCGGAUUUAUUGGGCGUAAAGGGCUCGUAGGUGGUUGAUCGCGUCGGAAGUGUAAUCUUGGGGCUUAACCCUGAGCGUGCUUUCGAUACGGGUUGACUUGAGGAAGGUAGGGGAGAAUGGAAUUCCUGGUGGAGCGGUGGAAUGCGCAGAUAUCAGGAGGAACACCAGUGGCGAAGGCGGUUCUCUGGGCCUUUCCUGACGCUGAGGAGCGAAAGCGUGGGGAGCGAACAGGCUUAGAUACCCUGGUAGUCCACGCUGUAAACGGUGGGUACUAGGUGUGGGGUCCAUUCCACGGGUUCCGUGCCGUAGCUAACGCUUUAAGUACCCCGCCUGGGGAGUACGGCCGCAAGGCUAAAACUCAAAGGAAUUGACGGGGCCCCGCACAAGCGGCGGAGCAUGCGGAUUAAUUCGAUGCAACGCGUAGAACCUUACCUGGGUUUGACAUGGAUCGGGAGUGCUCAGAGAUGGGUGUGCCUCUUUUGGGGUCGGUUCACAGGUGGUGCAUGGCUGUCGUCAGCUCGUGUCGUGAGAUGUUGGGUUAAGUCCCGCAACGAGCGCAACCCUUGUUCACUGUUGCCAGCACGUUAUGGUGGGGACUCAGUGGAGACCGCCGGGGUCAACUCGGAGGAAGGUGGGGAUGACGUCAAGUCAUCAUGCCCCUUAUGUCCAGGGCUUCACGCAUGCUACAAUGGCUGGUACAGAGAGUGGCGAGCCUGUGAGGGUGAGCGAAUCUCGGAAAGCCGGUCUCAGUUCGGAUUGGGGUCUGCAACUCGACCUCAUGAAGUCGGAGUCGCUAGUAAUCGCAGAUCAGCAACGCUGCGGUGAAUACGUUCCCGGGGCUUGUACACACCGCCCGUCAAGUCAUGAAAGUUGGUAACACCCGAAGCCGGUGGCCUAACCGUUGUGGGGGAGCCGUCGAAGGUGGGACUGGUGA
rnacentral:rRNA from 1 species